GGAGAAAAUUAGAAAAUCUUAGUUUGCCUGUUUGGAUAUAGUGUUUUGCAGCCAUGGAUGGCAGCAAAAGUCUUAACGCCCCAUGGAUGGGCGUUUAAGACGUACACGUUACUUUGAGAAAAUUCAAAUCAGGUAAACUUAGAGUUUCUUAUUUUCGGAC
rnacentral:ncRNA from 1 species